CUACGGGAGGCUCCAGUGGGGAAUAUUGGACAAUGGGCGAAAGCCUGAUCCAGCCAUGCCGCGUGGAUGAAGAAGGCCCUAGGGUUGUAAAGUCCUUUCGGUGGUGAAGAUAAUGACGGUAACCACAGAAGAAGCCCCGGCUAAUUUCGUGCCAGCAGCCGCGGUAAUACGAAAGGGGCUAGCGUUGUUCGGAAUUACUGGGCGUAAAGCGCACGUAGGCGGCCUUGUAAGUUGGGGGUGAAAUCCCGGAGCUCAACUCCGGAACUGCCUUCAAAACUACAAAGCUAGAGGAUGUGAGAGGAUAGUGGAAUUCCGAGUGUAGAGGUGAAAUUCGUAGAUAUUCGGAAGAACACCGGUGGCGAAGGCGACUGUCUGGCACAUUUCUGACGCUGAGGUGCGAAAGCGUGGGGAGCAAACAGGAUUAGAUACCCCUGUAGUC
rnacentral:rRNA from 1 species